CUUAAUUUGACUCAACACGGGGAAACUUACCAGGUCCAGACAUAGUAAGGAUUGACAGACUGAGAGCUCUUUCGAUUUUUUUCGAGGUGAAUGUGAAUCUUUAUUCCAAGUAAACAAAAUAAUACAUGAUACACUAGGGCAUACCCUAGGAUG
rnacentral:ncRNA from 1 species